AAAAAGCCAACAACCCAAUUGAAAAAUGGGCAAAAGACCUGAUGACAUUUCUCCAAAGAUAUACAGAUGGGCAACAAGCACAGGAAAAAUUGCUCAACAUCACUGAUUAUUAGAGAAAUGCAAAUCAAAACCACUAUGAGGUGCCACCUCACACCUGUCAGAAUGGCCAUGAUUGGAAUUCCCAUCGUGGCUCAGUGGAAAUGAAUCUGGCUAGUAUCCAUGAGGGCACAGGUUUGAUCCCUGGCCUCUCUCAGUGGGUUAAGGAUCUGACCUUGCUGUGAGCUGUGGUGUAGGUCACAGACACAGCUAGGAUCUGGCAUUGCUGUGGCUGCAGCAUAGGCCACAGGCUACAGCUCUGAUUCAAUCCCUAGCCUGGGAACCUCCAUAUGCUGUGGGUGUGGCCCUAAAAAAAUAAAAAUAAAAGAAUAAAACAAUGGCCGUCAUUAACUAAUCAACAAUAACAAAUGCUGGAGAGAGUGUGGAGAAAAGGGUACCCUUCUACACUCUUGGUGGGAAUAUAAAUUGGUACACCCACAAUGGAAAACAGUAUGGCGAUGCCUCAGAAAACUAAAUAUAGAACUACCAUAUGACUCAGCAAUCCCACUCUUGGGCAUAUAUCCAGACAAAACUUUCAUUGAAAAAAUACAUCUUCAUUGCAGCGCUAUUCACAAUAGCCAAGACUUGGAAGCAACCUAAAUGUCCAUCGACAGAUGAAUGGAUUAAGAAGAUGUAUAUAUACACAAUGGAAUACUACUCGGCCAUAAAAGAACAAAAGAAUGCCAUUUGCAGCAACAUGGAUUGAACUAGAGACUCUCAUACUAAGUGAAGUAAGUCAGAAAGAGAAAGACAAAUACAUAUGAUAUCAUUUAUAUCUGGAAAUAUACAGCACAAAUGAAAAGAAACUCAUGGACUUGGAGAACAGACUUAUGGUUGCCAAGAGGGGUGGAGGAGUGAGACGGACUGGGAGUCUUGGUUUAAUAGAUGCAAACUAUUGCAUUUGAAGUGAAUAAGCAAUGAGAUCCUGCCAUAUAGCACAGGGAACUAUAUUCAGUCACUUGUGAUGGAACAUGUUGGAGGAUAAUGUAAGAAAAAGAAUGUAUAUAUACACACACACGUGUGUGUGUGUGUGUAUCACUGGGUCACUUUGCUUUACAGUAGAGAUUGACAGAACACUGCAAAUCAACUAUAAUGGAAGAAAUAAAAGUCAUAAAAUAGAAAAAAUUUAAAAAUAAAAGCAUAAGCUUAUUCUCAAACAAAACAACAAAACAAAACAGAAAAGCACAAUCGUAUCUUCAGAAUACCCCCAGGCACUGUGUUUUGUCAGGGUAGGAAGAGGGAAUUUAGAGAUACGCAGAUAAACACGUCUAAGCUUAGCAAGUUAGGACAUAUAUGUUAGGACAUAUAUUCUGAAAAAUAAACUCUGACUGUUACAACACUUACAAUAUGUCUGAUCUUGCAUCCUUAUUUUUCUCUCCUUUUAAGUAGGAAUGGACCAUAUAGGUAUUAUUUGAGCUAAAGUAAUAUAUAAAAAGCAUUCCCUAAAGUAUCUAAUAUGUAAUAAAAUUUAAAUAAGUAGUAUUAUUACAAUUAAGUCUAUUCCUCAGAAAGACUUUCCGUAUCACCCAAUCAAAAAUCUCCAUUUCCUCCCCGCCACGCCUUCAAGUAGCUUAUUUUUCUUUAUAACAUUAUCAUUAUCUAACAUCAUGUCGCAAAGAAUGAAUUCAUUUGUUUAUGGUUUGAAUUCCUUAUGAAGGUCAACUUUAUUAGGGGGGUAAUUUGUUGAUCUCAUUCACUAAAUUCCUAAUACCUACGCUGUUCCUGGAGCAUAGUAGAAGCUCCAUAAAUAUUUGCUGAAUGAAUUAAUGGAAAAGUUACAGACGGAGGCACAACAGAGGGAGCUGUCGAUUCUAGCUCAGAAUUUUGAUAUUUUUAUUUUUAUUUUAUAAGAUUGUCCUUUUGUGAUAAAGUGUAUUAAUUCUGAGGAGGUUCAGAAGAAUUUAUGGCAAACGGACCGAGUAGCUUAAGGUGAAUCUGAAAGAUGUGUCAGUGUUUCCAAACAGAAAGGGCAUAAAGGGAUCCCAGGAAGAAGAGACAGAGUUUUCAUAGACACCAGAGUGAAUCCGCUGCCAAAUGGUAACUAUGGUUGCAGUAUCAUGUGACUUAGUACAAUGCCAGUGGGACCUGGCAAGCCUGGUAAGGGACGCAGCUCUAGAGGUAACCAAGGACCAGCUCACACAGGACAUGCAGCAUUCUGAGUUACUAGUAUGCAGUUCAUGGAGCCUGGAGCUAAUCCUGAAAAUGAUGGUACAAAAACUGAAUAAUCUUAAGCAAGUAAAUAAGAAAGGACCAGCUUUAUAUGUUCGAAAACUCACUCUGGUAACAUUGUGGAUGAUGAAGUUAGCAAAGCAUGAGACUCUUUAGAAAUCUAGGUGAUAAUUGAGCAAAUCAUAAAAAUGAAAUAAAUGGUGGUAGAAAUAGAAAGGGAUUUACUUGAGACAUAAUUUAAAGAUACAUUAGCUAAGGUUCUGAAUACAUAGAAUGUAUUCUAUUAUAGAACAGCAGUUAAUUUUAAGGGGGACCAGAAACACACAUAGGUGACACCCUUUAGGUCAAUCGAAAUGUGAAAGAGGAGCUCCUGCACAGUAGAAGUGGAAAGGGGGGGUAUCAAAGUAACAUAAGAUGCCUGGGACUCUAUUAAUUUUAUGUUGCCCAAAUUUCUACUUUUUCCUACAUAUGUUGUGGUUCAAUCUCAUAACUUAUCAGGAAACAAAAUCUACUGAAUGCAUGAGUGAGUAAAAAAAUAUACCCAGCUAGAUAUUUAAAAAAUUAACUUCUGUUUAUUUCAUAUACUUUAUUUCAUAUGCUUAAGACAUGUCUAAAUUUUAUAACAUUGUUAUUUUAUACACAUUUUUAGUUCCUGAUGGUAAAGUUGCUUUAGUGUUCAUUUUUAACUCCAAUGAAACUUUUUUUUUUUUUUUUUACUUGCGGGUAAAAUGUUAAACAAGUAUUUAUGAUGGUUGCAAAAUCCAACCAAAGAAAUAUCUAAGGCCAUCAUUAUAUAAAAUUACAGCUAUAGAAAAAUCCAGAACCCAAAACUUAAAAGAUCACAAGGAAAAAAAAAAAAUCAUAGUCCUUUGUAAAAGCAAUGUUUUAAAAUCUCCAGUAUUGCUGAAAACAGUUAUUACCAGUGGAGAACUUUUAACUAAGAAAUCAACAUUCCUCUGGUUCAGCUGGUGGUCUAUUUUCCAUGUGUAUUUUCUGUACUUAUUAGGGCAUGAUAAUUCCUCACAAACCUCAAAGCCCAAGUACAUCAUAAUUCUCCUUCACCAUAAAGACAUGACUUCGCCUUGAUUUUUGAAUGGAGAUGAAGAAGGACUUGUCUUAUUUUCCAUCCCCGCUCCCUUCCACAGAUCAGGGUCUAUAGUUGAGUCUCCUAUGAAUCAAUCUU
rnacentral:lncRNA from 1 species